rnacentral:rRNA from 1 species
UACGAAGGGGGCUAGCGUUGCUCGGAAUCACUGGGCGUAAAGGGUGCGUAGGCGGGUCUUUAAGUCAGGGGUGAAAUCCUGGAGCUCAACUCCAGAACUGCCUUUGAUACUGAGGAUCUUGAGUUCGGGAGAGGUGAGUGGAACUGCGAGUGUAGAGGUGAAAUUCGUAGAUAUUCGCAAGAACGCCAGUGGCGAAGGCGGCUCACUGGCCCGGUACUGACGCUGAGGUGCGAAAGCGUGG